AGGGUUUGAUCAUGGCUCAGAAUGAACGCUGGCGGCGUGCCUUACACAUGCAAGUCGGAUGUGUCGCAAGACACAUGGCAGACGGGUGAGUAACACGUGGGAAACUUACCUCCUAGUGGGGAAUAACGCUCCGAAAGGAGCGGUAAUACCGCAUAAGACCUAUCGCUGGGAUGCGAUAGAUGAAAGCUGGGGAUCGUAAGACCUAGCGCUGAGAGAGAGUCCUGCGUCUGAUUAGUUAGUUGGUGAGGUAACGGCUCACCAAGACUUCGAUCAGUAGCCGGCCUGAGAGGGCGAUCGGCCACACUGGAACUGAGACACGGUCCAGACUCCUACGGGAGGCAGCAGUGGGGAAUCUUGCGCAAUGGGCGAAAGCCUGACGCAGCAACGCCGCGUGGGUGAUGAAGGUCUUCGGAUUGUAAAACCCUGUCGUUAGGGACGAAGACAUAAAUCCUAAUACGAUUUAUGUUUGACGGUACCUAGAAAGGAAGCCCCGGCUAACUCUGUGCCAGCAGCCGCGGUAAUACAGAGGGGGCAAGCGUUAUUCGGAAUUAUUGGGCGUAAAGGGUGCGUAGGCGGUUUUUUAAGUCAGAUGUGUAAUCCCCGAGCUCAACUUGGGAACUGCAUCUGAAACUGGAAAACUAGAGUGCUGGAGAGGAUGGUGGAAUUCCACGUGUAGCGGUGAAAUGCGUAGAGAUGUGGAGGAACACCAGUGGCGAAGGCGGCCAUCUGGACAGUAACUGACGCUGAAGCACGAAAGUGUGGGUAGCAAACAGGAUUAGAUACCCUGGUAGUCCACACCGUAAACGAUGAACACUUGGUGUAGUGGGCGUUGACCCCCACUGUGCCGUAGCUAACGCGAUAAGUGUUCCGCCUGGGGAGUACGGUCGCAAGGCUGAAACUCAAAGGAAUUGACGGGGGCCCGCACAAGCGGUGGAGCAUGUGGUUCAAUUCGACGCAACGCG
rnacentral:rRNA from 1 species